AUGGGUGCCCCGACGUUGCCCCCUGCCUGGCAGCCCUUUCUCAAGGACCACCGCAUCUCUACAUUCAAGAACUGGCCCUUCUUGGAGGGCUGCGCCUGCACCCCGGAGCGGGCAAAGGAAACCAACAAUAAGAAGAAAGAAUUUGAGGAAACUGCGGAGAAAGUGCGCCGUGCCAUCGAGCAGCUGGCUGCCAUGGAUUGAGGCCUCUGGCCGGAGCUGCCUGGUCCCAGAGUGGCUGCACCACUUCCAGGGUUUAUUCCCUGGUGCCACCAGCCUUCCUGUGGGCCCCUUAGCAAUGUCUUAGGAAAGGAGAUCAACAUUUUCAAAUUAGAUGUUUCAACUGUGCUCUUGUUUUGUCUUGAAAGUGGCACCAGAGGUGCUUCUGCCUGUGCAGCGGGUGCUGCUGGUAACAGUGGC
rnacentral:misc_RNA from 1 species